rnacentral:rRNA from 1 species
AUUUUUUACUGGUUGACCUCGGAUCAGGUAGGAAUACCCGCUGAACUUAAGCAUAUCAAUAAGCGGAGGAAAAGAAACCAACAGGGAUUGCCCUAGUAACGGCGAGUGAAGCGGCAACAGCUCAAAUUUGAAAUCUGGCUUCGGCCCGAGUUGUAAUUUGCAGAGGAUGCUUUUGGUGCGGUGCCUUCCGAGUUCCCUGGAACGGGACGCCACAGAGGGUGAGAGCCCCGUAUGGUCGGACACCAAUCCUGUGUAAAGCUCCUUCGACGAGUCGAGUAGUUUGGGAAUGCUGCUCUAAAUGGGAGGUAAAUCUCUUCUAAAGCUAAAUACCGGCCAGAGACCGAUAGCGCACAAGUAGAGUGAUCGAAAGAUGAAAAGCACCUUGAAAAGGGGGUUAAACAGUACGUGAAAUUGUUGAAAGGGAAGCACUUGUGACCAGACUUGGGCCGGGCGGCUCAUCAGGGGUUCUCCCCUGUGCAUUCCGCCCGGUACAGGCCAGCAUCGGUUCUUACCGGGGGAUAAGAACGGCAGGAACGUGGCUCCCUCUCGGGGGAGUGUUAUAGCCUGCCGUACGAUACCCUGGCGGGGACCGAGGU